rnacentral:rRNA from 1 species
UACAGAGGUCCCAAGCGUUGUUCGGAUUCAUUGGGCGUAAAGGGUGCGUAGGCGGCGCCGUAAGUCGGAUGUGAAAUCUCGGGGCUCAACCCUGAAACUGCAUUCGAUACUGCGGUGCUAGAGGACUGGAGAGGAAACUGGAAUUCACGGUGUAGCAGUGAAAUGCGUAGAUAUCGUGAGGAAGACCUGUGGCGAAGGCGGGUUUCUGGACAGUGACUGACGCUGAGACGCGAAAGCGUGGGAGCAAACAGG